rfam:Camelus ferus unplaced genomic scaffold scaffold2630, whole genome shotgun sequence.
GAGGGUAUAGUUCAGUGGUAGAGUGCGUGCUUAGCAUGCACGAGGUCCUGGGUUCAAUCCUCAGUACCUCCA